rnacentral:rRNA from 1 species
GAUGAACGCUAGCGGCAGGCUUAAUACAUGCAAGUCGUGGGGCAGCAUGAGUAGCAAUACUUGAUGGCGACCGGCAAACGGGUGCGGAACACGUACACAACCUUCCGAUAAGUGGGGAAUAGCCCAGAGAAAUUUGGAUUAAUACCCCGUAACAUAUAGAGUAGGCAUCUUCUUUAUAUUAUAGCUUCGGCGCUUAUUGAUGGGUGUACGUCUGAUUAGGUAGUUGGCGGGGUAACGGCCCACCAAGCCUACGAUCAGUAGCUGAUGUGAGAGCAUGAUCAGCCACACGGGCACUGAGACACGGGCCCGACUCCUACGGGAGGCAGCAGUAAGGAAUAUUGGACGAUGGGCGAAAGCCUGAUCCAGCCAUGCCGCGUGAAGGAUUAAGGUCCUCUGGAUUGUAAACUUCUUUUAUUUGGGACGAAAAAAGGGAAUUCCUUCCACUUGACGGUACCAAGUGAAUAAGCACCGGCUAACUCCGUGCCAGCCGCCGCCGUAA